AAAAAUAAACCCUGCCCAGUGAUAUCAUUCAACGGCCGCGGUAUCCUAACCGUGCAAAGGUAGCAUAAUCACUUGCCUAUUAAUUGUAGGAUUGAAUGAAUGGGUAAACGAAAUAAAGUCUGUCUCUACUAACAAACUAAAAAUUAAUAUUUACAUGAAGAACUGUAAAUACAAUCGAAGGACAAGAAGACCCUAUAGAGCUUCAUUUUAAAUAUGUACUAGUAUACAUAUAAAAAUUAGGUUGGGGCGACCAAGGAAAAAAUAAACAUCCUUAAUACAAAGAUUUAUCAAUCCAAAUAAAUGAUCCUUAAUAAGAUCAAAAGAUUAAGCUACCUUAGGGAUAACAGACUAAUUCAGUUAAAGAGUUCAUAUCUACAGCUGAGAUUGGCACCUCGAUGUUGGCUUAGGGUAUCAAAAUAGCGCAAAAGUUAUAAUAAGACGGUUUGUUCAACCGGUAAUC
rnacentral:rRNA from 1 species